UUUGACAAGUAUAUAUCUACUACUCAAUUGUUAUGUAAUUAUUUUACACUCAAAAAAAUAAAGUAAAAAGUAGCAAGAAAGUCGUAUACUAAAUUACAAUUUUAUAAAUAAAGUUGUUAACCAAUAAUUUUUUUUUUAUCAAUAUUGCAAUUCUACAAAAUAUACAAGUGAAAUUUAGGAGGGAAAAUUACCUCCAUAAGCAAUUAACCAUACAACGUAGUUAAAAUUUUAGGGAAAUUCUCCCCUCUAAAAGCAGUCUUUGGCGGAAAAACUUCCUCCAAAUACAUGUAAUUUAUUAUAAAAAAAAAAAAAAUAAAAAAAAAAAGGAAGGAAAGCCUACUCCCUCCUGUGUUCUUCAGUUCUUCUCUUCAUGUUCCAUUCUCUUCUCAAUCAUCUACUCUCUUCUCUACUGAAGUAGGAAAUCUCAAAUUAUAGAUGACGCCGCCACUGACGCCACCGCAUAGCGUCUUUCUGGCAUAUUGCGGUCGAAUGGUAUCAGCGAUUUCAAGUUCAAAGUAGUCCGUUCUCAUGAAGCUAGACGAGAUCUCAUAUCUGCGCCAUCCAUUCAUCAUCUUUGUAAAAGCAUUGUUUGAUGUUGAGGUAGUCUGGUGUCAGGAAGAGCCAAUGAACAUGGGCGCUUACAGCUAUAUUUCACCUCAUCUAUGUCCACAUCUUUCGACCAUUGUGUUUGCUGACGACAUUGAGUAUGUUGGGCGCGUUCCAUCUGCUGCAACUGCUACCGGUUUUAGCAAAGGACAGACCGAGCUUCUGUAGAAGGCAUUGCAGUCAUAGCCAAUCCCAUUCCCAUUAACCAGUAAGAUGGUGCACGCUUAACACAGAUGGAGCAGCAAAUGGCUCUCUUGAGCUAGCUGGGGGAGGGGAUAUUAUCAGAGAUGAGAGAAGUUGAUUUCGAGGUGUUCAGCCAACUUUGGGUGUUGCUCAGCUUUUCGAGCUGAAAUUCUGGCUCUUAAGAAGGGUCUGAUCUUAGCCAGGGAUCUCAGUAUUGACACACUUGUGGUGUAGUUAGAUAAUAAGGCUUAUAUUGAAGUGCUAUCAAAUUAAACAAGCAAGAUAAUGUGAGUGAAUGUGCCUACUUAAUUGAUUUCUGUAAUGAUUUGAUACAAAAGGAAGAUUGGGAAGUCCAGGUGCUUCAAGGCUAUCCUGAAGGCAAUCGCAUAGCGAACUUGCUUGCAAACAUUGGUGUAGCUCUAUCAAAUGAUUUUAAUUUAGCGUUAGAUGUUCCUUUAGAACUAGCUAAGGUUCCCAAAAGGAGGAUAUCGAAGGAUGGCUAUUCCAAACUGGUUCCCCCUUAGUGCCAUGCUAGUGUCGUACCUUUCUAGUUUUAUUUAGUUGGUUUGUUGACUUGGUUUUGUUUUUUUGGUGCCUGUAUAUCUUGUCAAAAAUGAAACAUGGACCUUUUAUUCAGCUUUCUUGGUAGCAAUUGUUCUUUGGAGAAAGCUCGUGGUACACAAAAACUAUUUUUGAUUUUAA